GAAAUGCGAUAAGUAGUGUGAAUUGCAGAAUUCCGUGAAUCAUCGAAUCUUUGAACGCACAUUGCGCCUUCUGGUAAUUGGGGAGGCAUGCCUGUCCGAGCGUCACUAAAAUCAACUCAAGCACUUUUGUGCGUGGUCGUGGAGGAAGAGUCAGCCUCGCUGCAAGUCUCCCCUCCGAAAAUCAAUGGCGGAAAGUCACUGGUACUCUGCGUAGUAGUCACGUUCGCUGAGCUUCCAGUGUUGUUCCUGCCUUCAAACCCCCACAAUUCUCUUGAUUGACCUCGGAUCAGGUAGGGAUACCCGCUGAACUUAA
rnacentral:misc_RNA from 1 species